rnacentral:rRNA from 1 species
GAUGAACGCUGGCGGCGCGCCUAACACAUGCAAGUCGAACGAUUAAAGCACCUUCGGGUGUGUAUAAAGUGGCGAACGGCUGAGUAACACGUGGGCAACCUGCCUUUUACUUUGGGAUAGCCUCGGGAAACCGAGGAUAAUACCGAAUACUUUGUAUGUAUCGCAUGGUAUAUACAAGAAAGCUUUUGCGGUAAAGAUGGGCCCGCGGCCUGUUAGCUUGUUGGUGAGGUAACGGCUCACCAAGGCAAUGAUGGGUAGCCGGGUUGAGAGACCGACCGGCCAGAUUGGGACUGAGACACGGCCCAGACUCCUACGGGAGGCAGCAGUGGGGAAUCUUGCGCAAUGGGGGAAACCCUGACGCAGCGACGCCGCGUGCGGGAUGAAGGCCUUCGGGUUGUAAACCGCUUUCAGCAGGGACGAGGCCUUAUGGUGACGGUACCUGCAGAAGAAGCUCCGGCUAAAUACGUGCCAGCAGCCGCGGUAAUACGUAUGGAGCAAGCGUUAUCCGGAUUCAUUGGGCGUAAAGCGCUCGUAGGCGGUCUGUUAGGUCGGCAAGUUAAAUCCGGGGGCUCAACCCCCGUCCGCUUCCGAUACCGGCAGACUUGAGUUUGGUAGGGGAAGGUGGAAUUCCUAGUGUAGCGGUGGAAUGCGCAGAUAUUAGGAAGAACACCGGUGGCGAAGGCGGCCUUCUGGGCCAUAACUGACGCUGAGGAGCGAAAGCUAGGGGAGCGAACAGG